GGCAUGUAGCUCAGUGAUGAAGCACUUGCCUAACAUGCAUGAGGCCCGGGGUUUGAUUCCCCAGCACCA
rnacentral:tRNA from 1 species